rnacentral:lncRNA from 1 species
GGGGGGGAGGGGCGGCGAGGCGAGGCCUGCGGAGCGGAGGAAGACAAACAUAAAGAUGAAGUGCUUAAUUCAAGGUCACACAAUGUCGGGGAUGGACCUCCAGAUUUCCUUACUGGAAAACAAGCUCAGGGCUCCCACUGAUUGUACAUUAUGAGACGGAGUCUUGCUAUGUUGCCCAGGCUGGUCUUGAACUCCUCACCUCAAGCGAUCCUCCCGUCUUGGCCUCCCAAGUGUCAGGAUUACGGGCAUGUGCUAUCACACCCAACCUGAUACAUUGCCUUUAUAAAUUUUUUUUUCUUUAUUCUAAAAACCAGAAAAAACAAAACUGGAUACAUGUGCAGAACAUGCAGGUGAGACGUGGUCUUGUAACACAGUGGUUAAGAAUGUGACUUUGGAGCCAGCCUGCUAGGGGCUGAAUUCUGACUCAGCCAUUUACUAACUGUGUGACCUUAGGCUGGAGUGCAAUGGCAUGAUCUCGGCUCAUCACAACCUCUGCUUCCUGGGUUCAAGCGAUUCUCCUGCCUCAGCCUCCCGAGUACCUGGGACUACAGGCACUCGCCACCAUGCCCGGCUGAUUUUUGUAUUUUUAAUAGAGAUGGUUUCACUAUGUUGGCCAGGCUGGUCUCGAACUCCUGACCUUGUGAUCUGCCCACCUCAGCCUCGAAAAGUGCUGGGAUUACAGGCGUGAGCCACUGCGCCCAGCCUUGUAUUUUUUUUCAGUUUGGGUAGCUGUCCCUAAUUCAUUUGUUAAAGGAGAAGCAAGAGCAAGAACCUUUAAUCUGUUCUCCUCUUCCCUAAUUUGAAAGUAGCUUGUUAUUUUGAAUAUCACUUUCUCUGAAAUAGCACAUCUCCAUCUCAGAGAAUGGAUUUAAUGUUUGGAUACAGCCAAAAGUCAUUUCAUUACCAAACCAUGGGGUGAAUAUACCAUGUAAAGCAGUUUGGGAUCAGAACUCACAGUCUGAAUUGUAAGUGAUGAGACUGCUGUCUCUCUGCUACAGCUUCUUGGCUGGCUCUGAAGGCUCUUUGAAGGCAGAUCCUAACAAGGGGACUGCUUUGAAGGGCCAUUGUUCAUUUGGAAUGAUAAAGUCUAUGUUGUUCAAAAAACAAAUGCUUGUAGCAGGUAUUUUUUCACUCCAGACUGAGAAUAUUGGUGGGAUAUUGAUAAGGGGUACUGAAUGGUAAUAAACAUGUGCUCUAGCUCUGUGCUAGUCAGCUUAUUUCAGAACUCUAGUUUGAUUCAGUUUCUUGCCUCUGACUCAAAAUGGAGGGAGAGUGAUUUUUACAUAAGAGAACACACCCACAUAUCCUUUUGGCAGCAGCUACCUGCCAGAGAUGUUGAAGAAGAGUAGCCAACCUUUACACAGCAGAUAUUGUGUGCCAGUCAUAGUCCUAAGUAUAAUACCUUACAUGUAUAAACUUCUUAUAAGGUUGGUGCUCUGUACCGAAUUGAAUAGUAUCCCCCAAAAUUCAUGUUGUCCCAGAACCUAUGAAAGUGAUCUUACUUGAGGGAGGGGGGAGGGGGGAGGGAUAGCAUUAGGAGAUAUACCUAAUGCUAAAUGACGAGUUAAUGGGUGUAGCACACCAGCAUGGCACAUGUAUACAUAUGUAACUAACCUGCACAUUGUGCACAUGUACCCUAAAACUUAAAGUAUAAUAAUAAUAAAAUAAAAAAAAAAAAGAAAGUGAUCUUACUUGGAAAUAAGGUCUUUGCACAUAUGAUCAAGUUGAGAUGAAGUUGUACUGGAAAGUCUGUCUAGUGACUGGUGUUGUCAUAAGAAGAGAGGGACACAGAGGGAAGAUGGCCACAUGAAGAUGGAGGCAGAGAUUGCAGUUAUGCUGCUGCAAACUAAGGAAUGGCUCUGGCCCUCCAAGGAUUGCUGAUAACCACCAGAAACUAGAAGAGACAAGGAAGGAUUCUUCCCUAGAGCCUUCAGAGGGAGCAUGGCCCUACUGACACCUGGAUUUCAAACUUGUAGCUUCCUAAACUGCAAGAGAAUAAAUUUCUGUUGUUUUAAGCCA